AGCAGAGACCAUCCGCCUCCUCCUUCGCCUCGGGCUGCAGGAUUGCACCGGGAAACGAUUUUGGGAAGGCAGAAAGACAGUUUGGGAGAAGGGAAGAGAAAAAAAAGGGGGAAAAAUUAAAAAUAUAGAGGAGUUGCUUGAAUUUAGCAGCCGUUUAUCGGCAGGAGCGCACACGCCGUCCCGGGUGGGAGCCCCAGCCGCAGCCCCGGUGGGCAGCGGGGUCGGGGCCGCUCUCGGACUAGCGCUUCCCAAAAUAGGGAGGGUUCAAAGCCCCUGAGUGUGCCCGUGGCUGUGCGGGGGACACUCCCCAGGGGGACACUCCCCAGCUCCGGCCGGCUCGCCCGGGGCGAGGGGCGCUGCCAGAAGGUGACCGUAGUGCUGCCCCGGCCGGGGCUGAGAGACGGACGGACGGACGGAGGGACGGCUGAUGGACGGAGCGGUUGUUUGCCGUCUCGGGAGGGAGCCCUUCCAGAAGAGGAGGAAUAACCUGUCCCGGGAGGUCUCCUUGGCGAAACACGGGGGGAACACGCGUGGGAGCGCAGAGAGCGGCGACCCCUCCGAAAAUGGUUUUGGUCGGAGCGAGAGGGGUUUGGUUCUCUCCCCGAGGGGUUCGCUCCCAGGAAAAGCGGCGCUUGGGCCGGCAGGGACUUUAUUUAAUGGACGGCAACGUUUUCCAAUAGUAACAAUAACGGAGGGGCAAACCAGCCCAGAAACCCGAGCUCAGCAGCAGCCGGGCGAGCAUCCUCGACCCCGGGACCGGGAGUGCAGCCGGGCAGCAGCUCCGGACACCCGCCCGGCCGUGCUCGCCGGCACGCAGAUCUGUGGUUACGGCCGAUGACACUUUAUGCACAGCUUUCUCUGCAGGUCGUAUUCAGAAAGCAGUUUUAUAUACAUUUUAUCGAUUUAUAUAGCUCAAAUGCUUGUGUGUGAUUAUAUAAAGUUGAUAUAAAGAAA